rnacentral:misc_RNA from 1 species
GAGAAAAUUGGAAGCGAAAGGGGUGCCUACGAAGCAAGCGGAGGCUAUAACGGCUGCUAUUACUGAAGUUUUGAGCGAUAGCUUGGAAAAUGUAGCUCAGACAUUUGUUUCUAAAGCUGAUUUGCAGAGACUUGAGAUGAUUCAAGAAUCCAAGUUGUCCAAAUUUAAGUCCGAAGUUCAAAGCUCUCAGGAGAACCACUUUU